rnacentral:rRNA from 1 species
CUAAAUACUAACACGAGUCCGAUAGCAAACAAGUACCGUGAGGGAAAGUUGAAAAGUACUUUGAAGAGAGAGUAAACAGUGCGUGAAACUGCUCAAAGGUAAACGGGUGGAGUUGAACUGCAAGCUUUGGGAAUUCAGCUGAUGAGUAUGGCUAGCGUUCAGGCUUGUUGGCCGUCCCUGAAUGUCUGUCUAAUGGCAGGUGCCUUCCCUUUGGGUUGGUAUGUGCGUUGCGCUUAUCAUGUGCCACACGCAUUUGGGGUAAUGGGUCUGCUUGUCAGUGCACUUUCUCAGAGUGUUCACCACGACCGGCACUGCUGUCUGUCUGCAUUAGUCAAACUGGUCAGGUCUGGUUAUCGCUAGGCUUGGUUGGGAUGGCAGGUAGCUCGAGUGUUCCUUUAUUGGACUUUGAGUGUAAUGAGCUGACCAUUGUGGAUCUGUACGGUGUGUCGGAGAUGACGGCUUUGCAUGCGUGCUCUGUCCUUCGGGCGAGAUUGAGUCCGGUUGGCUUGUUACUGACUUCGGUUAGUCUGUCGAUGGCUUAGUCUUGUUCAGUUGGCGGUUGCGUGUGUAACUUGGUUUGGGCCAAUAGUCUGUGGUGUAGUGGUAGACGAUCCACCUGACCCGUCUUGAAACACGGACCAAGGAGUUUAACAUAUGCGCGAGUCAUUGGGCACUACGAAACCCAAAGGCGAAGUGAAGGUAAAGGUUUGGCUUGUCUGAACUGAGGUGAGAUCCUGUUGGUUUGCCUAGUAAAUAUCUGAACAGCGAACAGCGGGCGCAUCACCGGCCCGUCCCAUGGCGUAGACAUAUGACCUUGUGUUGUGUGCACCGUCGGGGCGGAGCAAGAGCGCAUACGUUGAGACCCGAAAGAUGGUGAACUAUGCUUGCUAAG